CGUGUAGGCGGUAUAAUAAGUCAGAUGUGAAAGUUCGGGGCUUAACCCCGGAAUUGCAUUUGAAACUGUAAUACUUGAGUACUGGAGAGGUAAGUGGAAUUCCUAGUGUAGCGGUGAAAUGCGUAGAUAUUAGGAGGAACACCAGUGGCGAAGGCGACUUACUGGACAGAUACUGACGCUGAUGUGCGAAAGCGUGGGGAUCAAACAGGAUUAGAUGCCCGGGUA
rnacentral:rRNA from 1 species